GUGUGAGCUGAUGUGUGGAGUAGGAUAGAGUGUGAGGGGUUGCUUUACUUGUAGAGCAGUGUUUAUUCAGUUUUGGAGAGAGAGGACCUGUCUGUGUCUUCCUUUUGGCCUGUAUUCACAAGUCAAGUUGUAGCUCUUAUUGAGGAUAUCGUCUCGACUUCGGCCACCCCCUGUAAGUUUUGGCUUGACACCGGAGACGCUUUUGCGAGGCCCCUUACUUUAUUGGAGAAACACUACAAAUUUUGAAUUGAUCACCUGCUACCUCAGUGAAAUGGUAGGGGACUUAAGCUACUUUGUAGAAAAACUUUGUGAGACUGGGUGUCAGUUGCAUUCUUGAGUCAGCACUCCAAAUCUGAAAGUCAACAUUUCAUUCUUCAAGGCCACUGACGCUUUCUUGGACAUCGUACCCAAAUUUUACUUAUUCUUCAGUCCCCAUCGCCGCCGUAGGAUUGAGGAACUCAUAUGAGCGCUAGAAUUAACUUCUCAUUCAUCAAGAUGUCAGGUUGCGGAAAAGGAGGAAAGGGUCUCGGAAAGGGUGGUGCCAAGCGUCAUCGCAAGGUUUUACGAGACAACAUCCAAGGUAUCACGAAUCACCCAUGUACUAUCGAUUGUCGCAUCUUGGAUAUAAAUCAAGAGCCUCUGUGGAGUAGGUCUGCCCUCGAGUACACAUCACCAUCCAUGUGGCCUGUUCAGUGAGGAAUGGAGCAGGUGUUCAUCAGGAGGCGCUGGCGGUUCAGAGCCCCAUUGCAUAAAAGUUACCAUUAUGGUAACUUUGCCAUCCAAUGGUAACUUCCAUGAUUUACUUGAUUCUGAUUGGCUGUUGAUCAUCAUUACCAUGGUAAUUAGCAUUGGAUAGCAAAGUUACCAUGAUAGUAAUGUUUAUGCAACAGGGCCCAGGUGGAUAGGAGAAAGUUGCUUGGAAGGCAUCCACAUGUGGUUAUCUGAUGGUGAGAUCAGGACCCGUCUUACAGAGGGUUGCGAUUGAUCCGAUCAAUCUCAACUAUGGAAAGCCAGCAACGUCAUCUAAAAUGCAUGUUUGUUCAAAAUGUUUUCUAGCUAUGAUGUAUAUUCAUAAAUUCAUUGUUUUCUUGAUAAUUUGGUGUGUUUGCCUUUGUUUACAAAGAACAUUUUGCAAAUUUCCUGUAGAAAAAAUUAUGACACUGAUGGACUUCCAUAGAGUUACAAUUGAUCCGAUCACCUAAGUAUAUGGAAAUCCAUCAAUGUCAUCAUUUUUUCUUUAGCAAAUUUGCUCAAUGUCCUUUGGGAACAAUGAGAAGCAUACUAAAUUGUCAAGAAAACGGUGAAUGUAUGAAUAUACAUCAUAAAUAGAAAAUAUGUUGAUGGCUUUCUGUAGCUGUGAAUGAUUGGAUCAAUCGUAACUCUUUGUAAGAUGAGACCCAGGUCUGACAUCAUUGUUGAAUGGCCAACUCAAGUUCCCACUGGAGAGGACACAAAGUAUAGGGUAUGGAUGGUGGACUUUGAUCUACGAACUAGCUGAGUCCAUGGUUGGAAAGAUCACCCGAUGCAGUCUCAUCAUGGUCGAGGGGCGAUCAAGGAUCCAGUUGGUCUUCCACCUGCUCAAGCCCCAGGGAAUUUAUGUGACAUGUCGGGAAUGUUCCCAAAUACGUUAAAGACGAUGCUGAACAGAUAGCCAAAUCGGUUCACCUUCUACUCAUGUCAAUGGCGUACAGAUUGGGGGGGGGGGGGUGGACUCCCCCAAAUUUUCAUGACCCAACAAAAUGGGGGGGGGGGAAGAAAAAUGAUGAAAUACAAUAUUUUCUCAUUAUCAUGUCAAAUCUAUCACAAUUUCCAAAGUUUCAGAAUUUUUACCCAAACACCAUUAUGGUUGUUCUCACCGUUUGUUUUCCUUUUAUUGUAUGAAUUCUACAACAUUUUUCACUAUUAGAAGGAGACUCGGCAUUGACAAUAAGGGCCCUUUUGAAUGUACCACAUAUAGUUGAAACAAUGACAUGGAAGAAUAUAACUUUUUAUGACAUUAUGAUACAGAGACAAAUAAAAUUUUUCAUUUUUAUUAUAAUAAAAUACAAAAGAAAUAGUGAGUAGAUGAUGUCUUCAUUUCCCUCAUUUAUAUACCAUCCAGGAUGUGCAUAUACCUGAGAAAUUAAGCAAAACUUCGUUAUUUCAUAUUGCAUUUUGAGUUUUUUGUUGCUUAGCUUGGUUAAAUUUUUUUUUUUUUGGGGGGGGGGGAUCUGAAAUACGCCGAGUCAAUCUGAACUAUUCCAAGUUCCUCUGCAAAUGACAUUUGGGAUAAAUUUUAGAAUUUGUUAUUUUGUCUGCACUGUUGAUCAUUAAAUGAUUGUGUUACAACCAUUGGCAGCGAUUCCGGGGAAUGGGGGGACAUGCUCCCCCCCCCCCCCUUUAUUUCAAAUUUUGUACAGCAGCCUAUUGGAAAGAAUUGUCUCCUUUCCCCUAAAUAUAGACCAAAAUUUUUCACGAAAUCGCUGCCAAUGGUGACACCUCUGUUUGGCUACUUGUAUUCAUUAUCGACUGGAUUCUUAUAAAACGUUUCUCUCCAUCAUCUCUCUCUUUCUUUCUGCCCUUCCCUCUUUCUUUCUUCCUUCCUUUCUUCUUUCUUUCUGUCCUUCCCUUUCUUUCUGUCCUUCCCUUUCUUUCUCCCCUUCAUCUCUUCCCCCUGUCUCUUUCUUCUGUUGUCUCUCUCUUUCCCUCUCUUAUUCCCCCUUUCUAUUAUCACUUUCUUCUACCACCCCGCCCAACUCCGGUAUUUCACUUUCUUUGCACAUGAGCAAAGAAGAUGAUCCCCCUCUGAAAGGGACUUUCACACUUGGUUGCAAGACUAUUUGGUUACAAGAUAUUUGAACAUGAUAGUGAUGCCUACACAGUCGAGUAACCAAUUUUGAAAGACCCUUUAUGUAUAUUUUGUCUACCCCAUUUUCAUACAGCCUUUGGGAAAUGGAGUGAACUUCAUGAAAUGCAUCAACAAAUUUCAUAUCAAUAAAACCUGAUUCAACAAUCCUUUCAGCAAAAUGAUUGAACAAACUUCCAAGUAUCCUCCGAUCCAAAACGUCUUAUGAUAUAUAUAUUAGAAACAUUUGCAAGCUUUAUCUGACGUAGAAGUACAACAUUUAGCAUUGUCAUUUUGAAAUAUUCUCGCUUUGUGAAUCUUUGUGUUGCAUUUCUUAAUAGAUGAUUAUUAUUGAAGAAUAUAAAUCAAUUGUGUGACAAAAUACAACACAAUGUUGGAAAAUCUAGUCAAACAAAUUUCGAAUGCAUAAAAUGUAUUCAAUAAAAUGUUAAUUUUGUGAAGUUCACUCUUGUCACAUAAAAAAAGAUACUUGGCUUAUAGUUAUACAGUGCAUAAAAAGGUAAUCCAAAUCUUGAGGGUCAAAUAGAAAAUAAAAGAGAAAAUUCCCUGCUUUCUAUUGAUACUGAUUACCAAAUGUUCAGUAUCACUCAGUUAAGGCAUGAAUUCAAAUUUUAUCUUUGCUUUUCUCUUCAAAACCAACAAGAUGGGAAUUGUUCCUGAAAAUGUAAGCCUAUUUAGAAAUUUUCUUUGGAAAAACAAAUAAUGUAAACUUGUAAAAUAGUAAUUUAAAAGAAUAUUGACCUUCUAUAUUUGGUUUACAGUACUCGGGGGGGGGGGGGGGGGCCUAAUAGCUGGCUGGUAUUCUGAAAUCGUGUUAUCUUUUGAAUUGCCUUUAUCAACUGCGAUAAGAAAUUUUAAAAUGGUAGAUAUGGUCCCUUUAUACUGCGUAAAUAACCAAUUUGCAAGACCCUGUUGCAUAAAAUGACUAAAAUAAUAUGGAUCCUAAUCAUACAAUUGGCUGAAAUCUAUCACAUGACCAGUCCUAUAUUUUAGCAAAUAAAAAAUAGCUUAUGAUUGGUACUAAUAAUCUAGUUCUAUUAAAAGGUCAUAGUUUUGAAAUGACCGUUGAUGAAAUAAGGAUCCACAUCACUAUCUUAUACAAACAUAUAAUACACAUCA